GUCCAUUGAAGCUGGUGGUUCACAAGCAAAGCUUGGCUAAGGAUGGCCGGAGAGAGUCGGACAUGGCUGUAAAGUUCUGCUUCUUUUCUGACUUGGCUGGAACUGGUGGCAAGGUCAUACGUUGUCACUAAUGGCCCUGUGGCAGCAGAGGCUAAGACACCUACUGUGGAAGACAACCCUGCAGCCUCGGCUGCCUGCCACGUGUUUUGGAGGUGUAGAUAUGAACGAGAUCAACUGAACAAGCCAAGUGUGAAGAUUUUGUGCGUCCGAGCCAUACUGAACGGAUGUGUACUCAGCGGCGCAGAGCUGAUGAAAUGUCCUCUGGCUGUACUGCAAACGGCUGGUGACACUCCAACUUUUCCAGGAAGGCCUGUAAAA
rnacentral:lncRNA from 1 species